GGGAGCGCUGCUUCUAAAACUUGCCGGUUGUGCUCUGCUUGAUGUGCAAACAGCCGUGUGUUUCUCAGCUGUCCUGCUUCGCAGAAGCCCUGGGGAGUUGAGAUAGACUUUUAUCUUUGCAUCCACACGAGGACUUUUUUCUUGGGCUUCACGUGGGUUACAGUGCACCAAGAUAGAAAGUUGCUCGUUGUGGCAGAACAAGUAGUGGAAAUUUGCCAAAAGGGAGAAAAACAGCUCAAGGUCAGGGAAGAAGUCACUGUGAUGAAGCUGAAGGAGAAGUACAGCAGGGAAACGGGGCACACAGUUGCUUUGGAUGCAGCUGUGCGUGCCCAGAAGGACACGAGCUUGUACUGAGCUCUUGGAAAAUGCAUGCCAAUAGUUACAUAUCUAUGUCUUAAUUUUAGGUGUAGAACCUGAACUGCGAGAGCACGUCCUUGAUUUAUCAAGUUGCCUGGUACAUAUCGUGAGGAGUAAAGGAACGUUGGUUUUCUAACACCACGUUGAAGUUAGAGAGCUUUCUUCCCAUAUUUUGCAUGACAACAUCACGAGGUUGUACAUCUUGGAGGAACAGUUAGUUCUUUUCAGAGACUGCAUGUUCGUUGUGCAGCGUGUUCAAGCAGAAAACAAGAUGGGUAAAAAUGAGAAUGCAAAAGUAAAUGUACUCUUACACUGAUGUUACGGUGGCAUGCCAAAUCAAGUCAGACAAUAUUAAAGAUGUAUAAAUAAGCAUAUCAAGAACAGAAGCAGAUCUGGCACUUGACAAGAGAAAAGCCUCAUGAAGCAACGUCAAGUUGUCCAGGAGUGGAACUAGUCUGGCGAUAAAGAGGAGAAGUCACCACUCACGUACUUUCUGAUCCUCUACACAAGAACUGCAGAGCAGCAGAGAAGAGAGAGGUAAACAGCUCACAGAGGGAUCUCACAGCAUAUGGAAGCAUUGUGUGUCACACUACCAUGCCUGCAGAGUAAGCACCGGGAUCCCAACUCACAUUCACUUUUCUUGCAUGUCUGUUCUGGUUAUAAAGAUGAUCCCACCAGCUGGAACUCUCCUCGCAGACCCCAGCUCUGUGAUUCUGAAGGUGCUGGGAUCUCUCUGGUUUGAUCCCUGCUGUCUCCAGAGGGAAGCUGGCAGCAGCAGUGCUGCCUGGCCUGCAGCAUCCCUGGAUGAGACUGGCCAGCAAGGCUGGCUGCUGGCUGCCACCAGGGAGAGGAGGGCUCCCGUGUCACUGUAUGAAAGAGCCUACAGCUUGUCCUCCCUUCCAUGUUCUGUGCUGUCAAGGAGUCCAAACCUUGUGCCACAGUUCUUGAACGAGAAGCAAUUCUGAACACACAAUGCAGAACUAAUCAGAAAAUGUGUUGAAUGAGAAAGAAGCUGACACCUGCUCUUGUGGGAAUGGAGUGUUGUUUCUGCAUUAGAUAUUAAAAAGGGCAAAUGAUUUGAAGAAGUACUUGUAUUCUGUAACUUGUUCUUAGAAGUAGUUGAUCUCAGAAGUAGAAAUACUGUGUAUGUUAGUAGCAUGUUUUAGAAACGUUAUUCCUGAAUUAUGUGAUUAAUUCUUUCUUGCAAAACUGCAAUAGUUGUUAAAUGUUCCAAACAAUGUGGGCAUAGUGCUAGGGGUUAGAAAACAUAUUGUAGGGUUGUUCUGUUAGGAUAAGAAACUCCCAGCAAAAGAAAAACAGAUUUAACAAACAUCAAAGAAGCCAGGGCCUCUACACAAGGCCAGACCGUCUCACUCCAUGAGAAGAUUGGGAUGUGACAGGCAGGCACCAAGAUACUCCCCUCCGUCCUCCUUCUGAGCUUCAUCUCUGCGGAGGGGAGGACAAGCAGAUGUCCACAAAAAAAUGAGCAAGUGUGGAAUAAGGGUUAGAAGUUAAUAAAAAAAAUAAACAGCUGUGCUGUUUCUGCGGGAUCAAGAGCUACACAGUGCUGCAGGAGACCCGAGCUUUCAAAGCAGGUGAAUGUUUUCUACAUUAUGCAAUUACUAGAAUCUCCUCAUAGCUUUAAUUAGGAAGGCAGAUCUGAAGUAACCAAUAGUAGCCACAAUCGUUUUAAGUGUUUUUCUGUGCCGAACUGUUUUACCCUUGUCUUUGCUGACACUGCUGUCAACGCAAAGUAGUUGCUGUACUCCUGCUUUUCAGCAGCUGCAAAGAGACCAAGGGCCCAGUUCUAUAGGCAGCGCUGCACAAACUCACUCUUGGCCUGCAGCCCACUUGCUGCAGUCUGACUGAGGUGGGACCACGUGCAUCUGUGUGCACUGCAUUCAGAUGUGGUAGUCCUGCUGACAUGGCUCUUGAAAUGAAAGACUUGGGAAUGUUAUGAGAUAGAGCCUGGGCUACGUCCUCAACCAAAACGUGCUCCUUCGUCCCCGUGGAUACACACGGGCUGCUGCUCUCCUGCGGGCUGUCAUGGUUUAAUGAUUCUUGUUAUCGGUAUUCCACAUCAUAGCACCAUGUAGCACACUGGGAUUUGAAGAGUUAAUGCUGCAGUUCCGUGGACUGCCGAUGGUUCCAGGUACCCGUUUCAGAAGAGAAACUACAGAAGGAAUUUCAGCACCCAGAAGACUUUGCUGUUCCAUUUCCAUGCUCCAGUAAGGGGGAGAGAUAAGAUUGACUGGGAGUCAUGGGAUGGCCUCUCUUUUUUGCCUUCCCUGUCUCUUUUUCCGCUCAUCUCUGCGGUGUGUGCUUCCCAGCCAUCCCGCCUACAGCAUCACAGCCAGGCCUUUGCUUUUCGGAUGCUCUCAUUUAUUCGACUUCUUAGCUUCAAUUCCAAUUAUACUGUAUUGAAUUGUGUUA